GAAAUGCGAAACGUAAUGCGAUCCGCACAUACCUGUGAGUCAUCGAGUCUUUGAACGCACAUGGCACUUGUCACCUCGGUGGCAAGUAUACCUGUUUGAGAAUCGGUUCCAAUCCUGACAUCGCCUUGAUGUCGACAUGACCGCUCUCCGGCAAGGAGUCGGUCCAAAUGGAGACGAGUGAGGCUGGCGAGACCGUGCGUCUGCGCCGUGUGGUACUGGACUUACACGUCCUCGAGCACGGAUGCAACGUGGGCGCACAAGGGUGGAGCCGGCACAAAAGACUCACUCGAGUUGGUUGUGUAUCAUAGCAACCCGUACGGAUGAAAGAAGGCCGUGAUCAGCGAUCUCAAAUCAGGCAAGGCUACCCGCUGAACUUAA
rnacentral:misc_RNA from 1 species